CAGCAGCCACGGGAAAACGAAGGGGGCUAGCGUUGUUCGGAAUUACUGGGCGUAAAGCGCACGUAGGCGGAUAUUUAAGUCAGGGGUGAAAUCCCGCAGCUCAACUGCGGAACUGCCUUUGAUACUGGGUAUCUUGAGUAUGGAAGAGGUUAGUGGAAUUGCGAGUGUAGAGGUGAAAUUCGUAGAUAUUCGCAGGAACACCAGUGGCGAAGGCGGCUAACUGGUCCAUAACUGACGCUAAGGUGCGAAAGCGUGGGGAGCAAACAGGAUUAGAUACCCCAGUAGUCCCUGUCUCUUAUAC
rnacentral:rRNA from 1 species